UACGUAGGGUCCGAGCGUUGUCCGGAAUCAUUGGGCGUAAAGCACAUGUAGGCGGCCCAGUAAGUAGGAUGUGAAAGCCCGAGGCUCAACUUCGGAAAUGCAUUCGGUACUACUGGGCUUGAGGAAGGUAGAAGAGAGUGGAAUUCCCGGUGCAGUGGUGGAAUGCGCAGAUAUCGGGAGGAACACCAGCGGCGAAGGCGGCUCUCUGGGCCACUCCUGACGCUGAGACGCGAAAGCGUGGGUAGCAAACAGG
rnacentral:misc_RNA from 1 species